ACGUCUGCCAAUAGUCGCGCUCUACGUACCCAAUCCCUGCGGCCCCGCCCGUAACUCCAUGAUUUUCGGAUCCUCCCCACCUUUCUUUCUCUAGGCCCUAGGUCGAGAAGAACGGACCGGCAACAACUGCCGCCGCUCCUCCAUUCCCCUCCUCCUGUGUGCUGCCCUCUCAUCCAUCCCGAGUCGACCCCGCCUCCGGUCGCGGCCCACUCUCCUACAAGCGGCGACGACAUCCUCGCCGGAUUGUCUCCAGGUGCAAUAGUCGUUCAAGCACAUGCAGUUUUUGGGAGUGAAGUCAAAGAAUAGCUUGGUACUUCUGUGGUUGAGAUUUCAACAGAGGGAUGCUGGUGCAGUAACCAUAUCUAUGUGCAAGGAAUUCUGCUUCUUGCAGCUGUAGGACCAUGAGAUGUCGAUGCUACACGAUAGGACACACCAAGGUCCCAGCCAAGUCAGUGAUGUUGCCCCGACUCCCUGUUUCUUCAGCUUGAGGAAGCCCUAUGGCAGCCUGACUCUCUUCUGCCUAUUGUCGUCCUAUCUGACCUGCUACUAGGCAACUACUACUACUCACGUUUGAUAGAUGCUAUCUUGCGUACGACUGAGCAGUCUCGGCUAUACUUCAACCCAGACAUCAACGAAGCAAAUAGCUUGAUACAUGGUUCAGGGAGCUUCGACGCUUGCUCCGACCAAAGAAGUCUUUCAAGCUAGAUUUUCUUUCCAUAUGAUACCUAGAACUGGCAUUGGCUGAGUUUGCGGUUAAAAAAAAGAGCCAGCAAGGAGAUGGAGUUUGCGAAGCACACGUUCGACCAUGACAACCCCAAGCAUGUGUCCCCAUACCUGAUGACGAGGCGACCAGGUGAAUACCACUCAUGAGAUGUGUGAGCUCUAGCGAAGAGGAUAAGUAGAAGCAUAGAACACAUAUUUGUCAUUAGGGACACGCAAGGAUGUUGUUGCAACAUCCAGGCACAUUUACUUAAAAAUAAAUAGAUUUCAAAAGACAUGUGUUAUAUUUGAGAGACGUGCGUUGCAAGUGCACGCUUACUAGUGGUAUGCAAAGUGCGGAUCCUUACCACAAUUUAGCAAACACUUCCAUUGUCUUCCUCACAUCGUCAUCUACCUGCUCCUGGCUGAUCUUUCCACACAGAUUUUUCAGAGAACUCUUCGUAAACGACACAUUAUCCAUUCACCCGAAAAAACUCCCAACAAUGUUACCACAUAGUACAAUGGGCC